UACGUAGGGUGCAAGCGUUGUCCGGAAUUAUUGGGCGUAAAGAGCUCGUAGGCGGUGUGUCGCGUCUGCUGUGAAAACUCAGGGCUCAACUCUGGGCUUGCAGUGGGUACGGGCACACUUGAGUGCUGUAGGGGAGACUGGAAUUCCUGGUGUAGCGGUGAAAUGCGCAGAUAUCAGGAGGAACACCGGUGGCGAAGGCGGGUCUCUGGGCAGUUACUGACGCUGAGGAGCGAAAGCAUGGGGAGCGAACAGGAUUAGAAACCCGGU
rnacentral:rRNA from 1 species